rnacentral:rRNA from 1 species
GUAGGCUGCAACUCGCCUACAUGAAGCUGGAAUUGCUAGUAAUCACAGGUCAGCAUACUGUGGUGAAUACGUUCCCGGGCCUUGUACACACCGCCCGUCACACCAUGAGAGUUGAGAAUACCCGAAGUCCAUGUCAAAGUGGCCGAAGGUAGGCUUGAUGAUUGGGGUGAAGUCGUAACAAGGUAGC